rnacentral:rRNA from 1 species
GACUGAGAUACGGCCCAGACUCCUACGGGAGGCAGCAGUGGGGAAUAUUGCACAAUGGGCGCAAGCCUGAUGCAGCGACGCCGCGUGGGGGAUGAAGGCCUUCGGGUUGUAAACUCCUUUCGCUAGGGACGAAGCUUUUUGUGACGGUACCUAGAUAAGAAGCACCGGCUAACUACGUGCCAGCAGCCGCGGUAAUACGUAGGGUGCGAGCGUUGUCCGGAAUUACUGGGCGUAAAGGGCUCGUAGGUGGUUUGUCGCGUCGUCUGUGAAAUUCUGGGGCUUAACUCCGGGCGUGCAGGCGAUACGGGCAUAACUUGAGUGCUGUAGGGGUAACUGGAAUUCCUGGUGUAGCGGUGAAAUGCGCAGAUAUCAGGAGGAACACCGAUGGCGAAGGCAGGUUACUGGGCAGUUACUGACGCUGAGGAGCGAAAG